GCCCGGAUGGUUUAGUGGUAUAAUUCUCGCUUAGGGUCAACCCUAACCAGUUUGCGAGAGGUCCCCGGUUCGAUCCCGGGUUCGGGCC